rnacentral:rRNA from 1 species
GACGGACGGUGCAAGCGUUGCUCGGAAUCACUGGGCGUAAAGGGUGCGUAGGCGGGUCUUUAAGUCAGGGGUGAAAUCCUGGAGCUCAACUCCAGAACUGCCUUUGAUACUGAGGAUCUUGAGUCCGGGAGAGGUGAGUGGAACUGCGAGUGUAGAGGUGAAAUUCGUAGAUAUUCGCAAGAACACCAGUGGCGAAGGCGGCUCACUGGCCCGGUACUGACGCUGAGGCACGAAAGCGUGGGGAGCAAACAGG